ACAACAUUCGGACCGUCGGUCUACCGAGCAAUAUCACCAGCUCGGUGGAAGAUCUUCCCUUUGUCUU
rnacentral:pre_miRNA from 1 species